rnacentral:rRNA from 1 species
GACGAACGCUGGCGGCGUGCCUAAUGCAUGCAAGUCGAGCGGGCUACGAUCUUCGGAUUGUAGCUUAGCGGCGAACGGGUGAGUAACACGUAGGUAAUCUACCCUUCAGAGGAGGACAACCUCAGGAAACUGAGGCUAAACCUUCAUACGUUCACUGGUAGGGAUACUGGUGAAGAAAGAGUUACCUUAAAGGUAGCUGCUGAAGGAUGAGCCUGCGGCCCAUCAGGUAGUUGGUGAGGUAACGGCUCACCAAGCCGAAGACGGGUAACCGGUCUGAGAGGAUGUCCGGUCACACUGGGACUGAGACACGGCCCAGACUCCUACGGGAGGCAGCAGCAGGGAAUCUUGGGCAAUGGGCGAAAGCCUGACCCAGCGACGCCGCGUGAACGAGGGAGCCCUUCGGGGUGUAAAGUUCUUUUCUAUACGAGCAGUGCUAUAUAUAUGGGUAGUAUAUAUAGAGGGAUAGUAGUAUAGGAAUAAGCAACGGCUAACUCCGUGCCAGC